rnacentral:tRNA from 1 species
GGAGAGGUGACCGAGUGGUUUAAGGUGCACGCCUGGAAAGCGUGUUUGGGUGAAUAACCCAACGCGGGUUCGAAUCCCGCCUUCUCCGCCA